CCUACGGGUGGCAGCAGUGGGGGAUAUUGCACAAUGGGGGAAACCCUGAUGCAGCGACGCCGCGUGAGUGAAGAAGCGUUUCGGCACGUAAAGCUCUAUCAGCAGGGAAGAAAAUGACGGUACCUGACUAAUACGCCCCGGCUAACUACGUGCCAGCAGCCGCGGUAAUACGUAGGGGGCAAGCGUUAUCCGGAUUUACUGGGUGUAACGGGGGCGUAGACGGCAAUGCAAGUCAGGAGUGAAAUCCCCGGGCGUAACCCUGGGACUGCUUUGGGAACUGGAGGGCUGGAGUGCAGGAGCGGCAGGCGGAAUUCCUAGUGUAGCGGUGAAAUGCGUAGAUAUUAGGAGGAACACCGGUGGCGAAGGCGGCUUGCUGGACUGUAACUGACGUUGAGGCCCGAAGGCGUGGGGAGCAAACAGGAUUAGAUACCCUGGUAGUC
rnacentral:rRNA from 1 species